AUGUGUAGGUUUCUAAAGGAAGCAGGAGCUGCACUAGCCGCGGGGCAGGAAAGGCGGAGUCAGCAGCACCCCCGGGAAGCCGGCGCGCCAGGGUUUGCUAGAAGCUGGCCUGGAACCUGGCCUCCUGCCCGCCGGGCCCAGACAGGUGAACAGAAGCUCUUGGGGACCGAGCCCGGGCCUGCGGGCACGAGUGGUUAUAAAAGGUACCUAGACCAAGAUCUGUUCAGAAGGGAUACAGAUGGGCAAAAUGGGGCCAGGGAUUUAGCUCAGUGGUGCCGCUGCCUGCCUCCCAAGUGCAAGGACCCGAGUUCGAACGUGGUACCAAAAACAAGAACGAAAAACAAAACAAAACAAACCGUAUAACAAACAGGUAAAAUGGGGCUGGUGGAGUUCACUCAAUCAUGAACUGAAUU
rnacentral:lncRNA from 1 species